GUGCAAUCUCUAUCACUAGCUCUGCACGAUGUUGCAGAAGUGAGCUGAACCUGGUUGGCUAAAUGUAGUGAUACCAACGUG
rnacentral:snoRNA from 1 species